rnacentral:misc_RNA from 1 species
GAAGAAACAAAUUACCCAAAGGGAAAAGCAUUUAAAAGCAAAUGUCAAAAUAUGAUUUAGUUGGAUUCAAGGUAACACUGCAGCUAUAGAUAUUACACUCAAUUAGGCAGUGGUGGACGAAGAGCCAUUUAAUAAAUAACACUAGCCAACCAGCUCACAUCUGUACAAGCUCCUCCCCUUUGCUCGGCCAUCUUGCUGGUCUGUUAUUGGUUGUCUUCUUCUAUACAUGAGGUUUUACAAGGCAGAACGAGCCAGAUCAGAUGGCAAUUAUUAGCGAAAGCAGAAAGUUCUCAUCCUUCCUCGUGGUCAGGGGAAGCAUCACAUUCCGCCGACGUAGUCUCAACCUCCGGCUCAAGUGAAGGCAAAUGGGGACCAUGAAUGAAGUAAUGAGAAGAGGGCCAACCACGGACGGUAGUGGUAGACAAGGAUUGUUCGGGAGAGAGAGGGUUAGCUAAGUUGUGAAGAACGUUGGCAAUUGGAGGUAAAUGGGAAGUAGAAGGCAGAGGAACCCAAUACGAAGCGCCUGGAACGAAGGGGAGCCAAUCGGGGGCAGAUCGGCGAACGAGGAUCCGUUGAAUAGCGUCCUCAAGGUUCCGAAGAAGGGGAUCGGAGGAAGGAGAUUCAGAGAGAUCGGUGAGAUCGUUGUUAUCGGAAGGGGAGGAGAAAGCACGGCGGAAGAGGGAGUGAAAGGGAAAUAGAGAACGAGAACGAGGACGGAGGAGAUUUAGGGUUAGGGUUAGAGCUUGGGAUUUGGAUAGAGAAGAGAGAGACAUAAGGAUUUAGCAGACAAAUGGAAGAAGGGAGAAACGGAUAGAGAGACCGGCAG